CGCUGGCGGCGUGCCUAACACAUGCAAGUCGAGCGAGGAGAUCCUCGGGAUGAUCCUAGCGGCGGACGGGUGAGUAACACGUGGGCAACCUGCCUCAUAGAGAGGAAUAGCCUUCCGAAAGGGAGAUUAAUACCUCAUAACAUUGCAGUUUCGCAUGGAACAGCAAUUAAAGGAGUAAUCCGCUAUGAGAUGGGCCCGCGGCGCAUUAGCUAGUUGGUGAGGUAACGGCUCACCAAGGCGACGAUGCGUAGCCGACCUGAGAGGGUGAUCGGCCACAUUGGGACUGAGACACGGCCCAGACUCCUACGGGAGGCAGCAGUGGGGAAUAUUGCACAAUGGGGGAAACCCUGAUGCAAGCAACGCCGCGUGAGUGAUGACGGCCUUCGGGUUGUAAAGCUCUGUCUUCAGGGACGAUAAUGACGGUACCUGAGGAGGAAGCCACGGCUAACUACGUGCCAGCAGCGGC
rnacentral:rRNA from 1 species